UACGUAGGGUGCUAGCGUUGUUCGGAAUCAUUGGGCGUAAAGCGCGUGUAGGCUGUCAAUUAAGUCUGGUGUGAAAGCCCUGGGCUCAACCGAGGAAGUGCAUCGGAAACUAAUUGACUAGAAGACGGUAGAGGAAGGUGGAAUUCCUGGUGUAGAGGUGAAAUUCGUAGAUAUUCGCAAGAACACCAGUGGCGAAGGCGGCUUACUGGUCCGGUUCUGACGCUGAGGCGCGAAAGCGUGGGGAGCAAACAGG
rnacentral:rRNA from 1 species